ACACACUGCACGCAAUGUUUUACCAUAGGACAAACCUGUGAAAGACAUUAAGAAUAAAAGGCUGUUUAUCUCAUUGAACGAAGAACCAUCCAAACAACUUUCGCCGAAAAUCAAAGCUCCACGUACAAACAAUCACUGAAGGCACAAACGCGUAGAUGGAUUUCAAAUACAGCGCGUGGAUGGUUUUAACUCUCACAAUAUCUUUUUCCAAAAGCGGAAAUGGCAACAAACUGAGAAUAUUUCGUCAUGAACGAGAUAUAUUUACCAACUUGAAUUAUUCAAGUUCACAAACUGAAAGAGAUCAUAGUCAUGACUGUAUGAAGUACAACGCUGAAUGCCAUUUCAUCACUAAGUGUCGUCAUUGUGUGUGUAAAGAGGGAACGAGCACUUUCGUUAUUUAUGGCAAUGGUGAGAAUAACAAAGGAAGUUGUAUUAAAGACGAGGAAUUGAAUCUAGAAUCAGAGUCAAUUAUCGAGGCAUUUACUCUUGAAAAUAGUGAAGAGAAUGUUUGAAACAAGCUGGAAGACUUGUGAUUGUUACGACUUGUGGAAAUUCAUUGGAUGAGAAAUGGAUACGUCUCAAAAAUAAACAACUCAUGAAUGUGAAAUCACUUCGUUGUAUUACAAGAAGUAAAAAAGAUGGUGGACAAUUAACGAUGAGCCAGUGUAGAAAAAACUUAAAUCGGCAAAAACUAAGGUGCGCAAACGACCCGCCAUACUCAAUUUUCUUUCGGAAAAACGGCAAGUUUCUUUGGCAAAGAUGGUACAUAGGACAAAAUGAAAACAGACAAGGCAUUUCCACGUCACAACCCAGACAGUACUGGAAAGCACACAAAAAUGAUCAAGAGGUCGAUGUUUGCGAGAAAUCAACAGAACACAAAGGAUGCUAUCGUCUUUCUGAUGGCAAUUUCGCAAAGUAUUUGAGUUUUAACAAUAACGGAAAUGUGGAAAAAUUCAAUAUCUCUGCGCCGAUCUACCAAGAAAAUUAUAAUUGCAUAGUGGAAGAAAAUUUCGAAUAUACCAGAGAUGGCAAGGAAACAUACAAAGACUCAAAAAAUC